AGUAAAUUGGUUAAGUUAGAAAGGGCGCACGGUGGAUGCCUUGGCACUAGGAGCCGAAGAAGGACGGGACUAACACCGAUAUGCUUUGGGGAGCUGUACGUAAGCGUUGAUCCAGAGAUUUCCGAAUGGGGGAACCCACUAUCUUUAGUCGGAUAGUAUCCUUACGUGAAUACAUAGCGUGAGGAAGGCAGACCCAGGGAACUGAAACAUCUAAGUACCUGGAGGAAGAGAAAGAAAAAUCGAUUUCCUGAGUAGCGGCGAGCGAAACGGAAAGAGCCCAAACCAAGAAGCUUGCUUCUUGGGGUUGUAGGACACUCUAUACGGAGUUACAAAAGAAAGUUAUAAAUGAAGCGGUCUGGAAAGGCCCGCCAAAGACGGUAACAGCCCGGUAGUUGAAAUGGCUUUCCCUCCAGAGUGGAUCCUGAGUACGGCGGAACACGUGAAAUUCCGUCGGAAUCCGGGAGGACCAUCUCCCAAGGCUAAAUACUCCCUAGUGACCGAUAGUGAACCAGUACCGUGAGGGAAAGGUGAAAAGCACCCCGGAAGGGGAGUGAAACAGUUCCUGAAACCGUGUGCCUACAAGU
rnacentral:rRNA from 1 species